rnacentral:lncRNA from 1 species
CAGGGACAGAGCCAGUCUUGCAGGUUUCCUGGGAACUGCUGGUGCUGCUGGGUUUAGCAGCAGCUUUCAGAGAAAAGCUUGGUGGAGCCCAUGGAGUCCUCUGUUCUGGGGUAUUUUUCUUGGCUCCCUGAGGCCUUAGGCAGUGUGGUCUCUCCUCCUUGUGACUCUGUCUGGGGUCUGUGCCAAGUUUAAGCCCUCUUCCCUGAAGAACAGGACACCACUGCAUCUGCAUCUGGCACAAAGGGGACAUGCUCAGAUGGAAGAAAUCCUCCCCCCCGCCCAGACAUCUGGGCACCCCAGUGUCAGACCCAGGCACUUCUGGGGUUCGAGGGGCCAUAGGCACAAGUGUGGGAAGAUUGGAAGGACCUGGCUCUGGUCAUUUCCUCUGCUGGGUUUUUAGCCCUCCCUGUUCUUGCUGAAGAGCCUCUCCCUGGGUUAUUCUCCCUGACUGUGCAGUGAGGGUGCUACUGUUGCCGGAAUGGCCGCCAGGGUUCCUGUCUGGAGGCCUCAGAUGUGGUCACAGUCUUGUCCUCCAGUGCCCCCCAGUGUAUGUCUAGGCUCAUUGCGCCGUGACUGCUCAGCCUUUCCCUAGUUCCCUUAAACAUGGUAGACACUGCAUUCCUACCACAUGCAUUACCCUUUCCUUAGGGCUCUGAGAGACACCGUGCUGGCCCUAAAAAGAAUAAACUCUUCCUGGGAGCUGAAGGUAUACCUACCAGGGGACACUGAGAUCAGCAUGUAAUCUUAGAAAAACGUGGGAUUGUUAUUUGCAAUAAGAAAGAUAUAUUGGGUCUUUGUCCAUUGUUCUUGGCACAAAGCUCCUAAAAUCUUUGGAACGUCCUAAUUGAUGAGAGUGAUUAAGGUGUCUGGCUAGUCUAGCGAGAUGACUUUUUGAAUGCACUUUUGGUUGGGGCUGGUUUCCAAGAGAACCAGUCAUGAGAUUAGAGGGUUGAAAGGUUUCAGUCCCCUCCUGCUCCCAUCCCAGAGGUGGAGAAGAGGGGCUGGAGAUUGAAUUAAUCGCCAAUGGCUAAUGAUUUCAUCAGUCAUGACUUAUUAAUGAAACCUCCAUAAUGGAACUUCCCAUCUAUAGCCAGUCAGUCCAAACAAAGCACAGGUAACAAGCUAGGCUUGUGACUUUUGAAGUUGAGGCAGGGGAGGUCUUGUAGGACUGAACCAUUAACCUGUGUAAUUUGAUGCUAUCUUUUGGGGAUGGAGUCAGAGUUGAGUUGAAUUGUAGGUGCCUGGGAAUUGCAUGAUGGUAUAGAGGAAAGCCUCCCCCCCUGCCUUCCCCAACACACCUGUUAGAGUUGACUUCUAGAACCCUUUUCGUUGGAGUCAGGAGUGAGAUUUGCUAACUUGCCCCUGGCUUACAGAAACGUGGUUUGGGCAGAAAGAAUGAAAUAGCGUGGAAAGAAGAACUUUUGAUUCCUAGGCAGCCACAUGGUCACCUGUGGCAUGGAGCAGGUACUGUGUUAAGGUCAAUUACCAAAGGUAAAAAUCACCAGUGGAAUUUAGAGAUAGAUCCACCUCCUAUAGAGUUGAAUCACUGGAUGUAUAAGGAAAUGCAAAAGGAUAAGCAUACUCAACAUACAAUCAUGUGAUUCUUGUUUAUCUGCAAUAGCUAAAAUAAAAGUAGAAGAGAAUGCUGCUUUGGGCCUUGAUGCUAAACCAAGCUCAGACGUGAACCCAUCUAAGCUCUGGCUGCUAGCCUCCAAGCUGCCUAGACAGGGAAAAAUUAUGCAGGGGCAACAGAAAGUACCUCGAAGUCCUCUGGUUAUCAAGAAAGUAGUCAGAGUGGGGGAGGGCAAAAACCAUGAAGCUACUGAAAACGAAGAGUGUAAUGUGAGGGAAUUGUCUCAUUUUGUGGGUAUCAUCAGCUUCCUGGGGAACUUUUACUGAAAUAGACUCUAAGAAUAACUAAUUCAGGAGCCUUGUCUUUGGUUUUGAGUGCUACGGAGUAGAGUAGCAUAUUUGGAUUGGUACAGAACCCACAGCUCAUGAUGGAACAAUCACAGAUGUCUGUAUAUGAUCUGGACACACUGGAGGUUAUUUCCAAAGGGAACUCGUAAGGUCUGCUUACCCUGAGAAGCAGGACUGCCCACCUCCCCCAUGAAUGCCAAGUGGAAACCCCAGUCAACAGCUGGUGUGCUUUGCGUGCAAGCCCUGUGUGACUGUUACAGGAUGACUGGGAUGGUCACCGGCUGAAUGUGCCUAUUUCUCAGGUCACAGCAAGUGUUGUGGGUAAGGGGACCCCUUUCACAUGGGCACCCCCAAAUAACCUUUUUGCUGCAAAACCAAAGGAUAGUUUGGGAGGCCUUAACUGCCAUUGGAUGGGGAGGGCACAGACCCUGGCUGAGUCUUCCUAGCUUAGGGAAUGUCUUGAAAGACAGAGGAAAGAGUCUUUCCCCUUCAGAUCCCAGGAAUCCCAAAACAGAGACUCAAGAGGAAUCUGGCAGUGAGCAUGGAGUCAGGUGAACUCAACAGGCUCCCAGAGUCAGAAGCACAAAGGGAGCCCUUCAGAGAUCCAGCCUGACCCAGUCUCUGAAGUAGCUUGUCCAUAGAGAAGAGGUGCUAAGUCUCUGUAAGGCCCACAGGUACCUAAUCCAUGCAAGGUGUCUUAUCACCACUGGUCUGGUGGGAGAGACACAUAAAAUUAUCCCCACUUCACAGAUGGGCUCAAAGAAGUCAAGUACAAGGUCACACAACUGGUAAGUGGCCAAGCAGGAUGUCAAGCCCUUCUGAGAUCCCACAACUGACUGCCCCUUAAUAACAACCACAACUCACCCUGGGUGUGAGGUUGUGAUCUCAUACAUUGUUUAAUUCAUCCUCAUGUCAACCCCAUGGAGCUGCAGGUGUUAUUUCCAGUUUGCAGAUAAGAAGAUAAGAAAUAACAUGCCCAGGGCUCAUUGUCUAGUGGGUGCCUGAGCUAAGCAUUAAAAUUGAAGCACAGAUGUGCCUGGUAACCCAGGACCUUCUAAGACAUCACAAGGUUGUAGUAUGUGUCCCCUCUUAAUGUUAAUGGGGGAGUGAGAGUUUUCCUGGAAGAGCUGCCCUUCUAUCUCCCAGCCAAAGCUGGGAAGCCCCUAAGCCCCUCCCCAUCUCCCAGGACCUGCCCUGUCACAUGCAAUCAGCGUGCCCUCCAAGGAAGUCAAGUGCCACACGCUGUCUCCGCCCCCACCAGCAGGCCUAGCUGGUACUACUGUAACUUCUGUUCCUUCUCCCUUGUCACUUCCUGUGAUUACUGCAAGGACCCCUCAAUACAUCUGGCUGAAAAUCAGCCCUGCCGUUUGCCCUGAGCACCUUCUCCCCCUAGAGCUGAGCAUUUAUGGGGUAUCCCCUCUAUUUCGAGGGCUUGCCUAUGAGCAAGAUACAACCCAGGGCAGCAGGUAAGAAAGAUGCUCAUCCAGAGACAGGGCGGCAGUGACCUCCACUCCCUGAGCCAGGAAUCCCAGGAUGCCUGGGUGCCCCACAUGCAAGAGGCAGUGCAGAGCCAGUGUUCAUGCAAAACCAGGGCUCAUGCUUACUGGGGUCGUCCCUGCUAAGCACUGGACCUCCUCUCUUCCAUAUGAGUGUAACCAGUGAAGGCAAAAUUAACAUGUUCCUGUUUUAUAGAUGAGAACAGGGUGGCUCAACAAGCUCAGGUGAUUUGCUCAAGGGUUCAAAAGCCUGAAUCCCUGGGUGUGGGUUUCACCAUCUCAGGAUCAAGAAGCAGACAUAAGUGUUCUGCCUGCAGCUCUGAGGGCACCCAGCCUCCUCCCCACCCCAGCUCCACACUCGGCCCUUCAGGAGAUGAUGACAGUUGGCAGGAGGAAGAAGAGGAAGGAGAACGAGGCAGCUAGGUUGGGGGAGAUGUUGAACAUGGGAGUUCACAAGACCUCACCCCUUCCUGUCCUGGGCACUGUCUGCUGAGGUCUGGCCAAGGUCAAGUUGCAGGUGGUGGCAAGAGAUUGAAAUUCACAGUACAAGGACAGCAAGCAUCCAUUCCUGUGUGGCUGUUUCUCUGGGCUCUACUUCAGGUCAGGCUGACCCCGAGCACUUCGUGUGGGCAGACAGUGCAGCUGCAGGUUUACUGUGUGUACAAGGAGCCGUCCAGCUGGCAGACGCACUUUCUCAUGACUCCACACUGUGGACCUUCCUUAAUGGAGCUGCACACGCUCAAGGAAGCAGGUAAAAGCCUGCAUUGAAAAUUCAUGGCUCUGCAGCUGCCUCAUGGCACUGUUCUGGGUGCCCAGAUGUCACAGUCAGCACAAGGGUGGGGUGGGUCAUGUCGCAGCAUCCAACAGGAAGAUAGAAAUGAUUUUCCAAAAAGGGUUUUAGUAUAAGAAACAUGACCUUACAGGAAGCCAGCUGUAUGGAUGAGGAAGCGGAGGUCACAGUUCCGUUUGCUUUGUGUCAGUUUAGGAGUCACGCACUUUUAAAAUCAAGGUAAACACAAAGCAAAACAAAACAAAAACAGAAUG